UACGUAGGGUGCAAGCGUUGUCCGGAUUUAUUGGGCGUAAAGAGCUCGUAGGCGGUUUGUCGCGUCGGAUGUGAAAACCCAGGGCUCAACCCUGGGCCUGCAUUCGAUACGGGCAGACUAGAGUAUGGCAGGGGAGACUGGAAUUCCUGGUGUAGCGGUGAAAUGCGCAGAUAUCAGGAGGAACACCGGUGGCGAAGGCGGGUCUCUGGGCCAAAACUGACGCUGAGGCACGAAAGCCAGGGGAGCAAACGGG
rnacentral:rRNA from 1 species